rnacentral:rRNA from 1 species
GAUGAACGCUGGCGGCGUGCCUAAUACAUGCAAGUCGAGCGAACAGACGAGGAGCUUGCUCCUCUGACGUUAGCGGCGGACGUGUGAGUAACACGUGGAUACCCUACCUCUAAGACUGGGAUAACUUCGGGAAACCGGCUCUAAUACCGUAUAAUAUAUUGAACCGCAUGGUUCAAUAGAGAAAGACGGUUUUGCUGUCACUUAUAGAUGGAUCCGCGCCGCAUUAGCUAGUUGGUAAGGUAACGGCUUACCAAGGCGACGAUGCGUAGCCGACCUGAGAGGGUGAUCGGCCACACUGGAACUGGGACACGGUCAAGACGACUAAGGGAGGCAGCAGAAGGGAAUCUUCCGCAAUGGGCGAAAGCAUGACGGAGCAACGCCGCGUGAGUGAUGAAGGGCUUCGGAUCGUAAAACUCUGUUAUGAGGGAAGAACAAAUGUGUAAGUAACUAUGCACGUCUUGACGGUACCUAAUCAGAAAGCCACGGCUAACUACGUG